rnacentral:ncRNA from 2 species
AAAGCAUAUGCAGGAGAGAGUGCGCCCGUCGGCGUGCCACCGAAGGCGCAGAUACCCUUAAAUCGCUCAGGUAAAAGGACUGCAUAUUGUCA